GAUCAUGGCUCAGGAUGAACGCUAGCGGCAGGCUUAACACAUGCAAGUCGAGGGGCAACGCGAGUAGCAAUACUUGGCGGCGACCGGCGCAAGGGUGCGUAACGCGUGAGCAACAUGCCCGUAUCAGGGGGAUAAUCCAGGGAAACUUGGUCUAAUACCCCAUAGUAAUUUUGUAAGGCAUCUUAUAAGAUUUAAAGCUUUGGUGGAUACGGAUUGGCUCGCGUGACAUUAGCUGGAUGGUAAGGUAACGGCUUACCAUGGCUAUGAUGUCUAGGGGUUCUGAGAGGAAGGUCCCCCACACUGGAACUGAGACACGGUCCAGACUCCUACGGGAGGCAGCAGUGAGGAAUAUUGGACAAUGGAUGGAAAUCUGAUCCAGCCAUGCCGCGUGAAGGAAGAAGGUCCUAUGGAUUGUAAACUUCUUUUGUAUGGGAGCAAUAAGGCCUACGUGUAGGUUGAUGAGAGUACCAUACGAAUAAGCACCGGCUAACUCCGUGCCAGCCGCCGC
rnacentral:rRNA from 1 species